rnacentral:lncRNA from 1 species
CUAGUGUUAACAACAUAUUUCAUACCUACUUUGAGUGCAUGAGGUAAAUAGAGAGAUAUCUCCGCUUUCCAUCGACUGUUAGCUUUUGUUUUGUGACUUAUAUUAUGAUCAGCGGAGAGUAGAAUGAAUCGCUCGUGUGAACUUGCACAUUUGGUGCAACAUGCGUCACUCUCGAUCGGCGGUGUGAUGAUGCAGGUUUUCCAAUAUGCUUGAAAGCGGUUAGGGCGAA